AGCACAAAUGUUCCUGGAUUCUCUACUAAGCUUUAUUUCCCCUUCAAAAUUUACAACACCAAACAACAUCUGGAUUCUAUUUCAGUCUGAGCAAUGGGCAGAGGAGAACCCAGAACCAAAUUGAGAAUGAUGAAAUGCCUACCUGGUGAGAUGAAGUGAAGGAAAUGACAUAGGCAUCAAGACGUAGUGAGGCUACUGCUGCCCUGACAAAGCAUCAGAAAGAGGAUCAUCUGCUUCCAGACAGUGGUUGACCACAGACCCUGGGUGUUGGCCAUGUUGCUAGCUGGAGGACCACACUGAGGAGGAAUGCUCUACCAGAACUUCUGAUGAAAAGGCACAAAUUCUCAACUCAGUUACCUCGGAUUAUUGAAUUUGCAGACGUUAUAGAAAUUGAAGUUCAGCUUUCCAAACUCCAACAAAUUCUACAGGCAGCAAUUACCACUGAUGUCCAAGAAAAUAGGCAGUGAUCUAUUUCCAAUUAAAGUUUCCUUUAAUGACCCCCAUCUCCCUGAAGGGCAGGUACAGGCAGCUAGGCGAUGACAAGAGAUGUUUACUUGAAGAUCUUGCCCUGAUUGAAGGUUUUGCCCACAUGCUGGAAGGCCCCCGUCCCAGGAAAAGUACUCUCGAACCAGCGUCUGGGUCUCCUCGCUGCCAGGAUCCAGUUUCCGCCACGUAUAGGACUCGUAGUCCACCUGCCAAUCUGGACUCAGCGAAAGGCAAGCUCCUGGCCUCGGAAGACCCAGACUCCAGAAAUGGAGCUGCUGUUGUUGGUUCCAAAGAGUAUGACACUGGCAAAGGCAUUCUUCCUCAGCUUGUCCAACCGUUGGAACAUUCCAGUGAUGAGGUUACAACUCAUAAAGGUCUGAGUGAGCUCCUCAGGGAAGCGGAACUCAGUGUACCACAGGGACCAGCCAUCCUUAUCGAAGGGCUCCCAGAAGUGCUUCCAUUGAUGCUGCACAUUAUGUCUAUACUAGAAAUCAGCAAUCUAAGGCAUGAUCAGAAGCCAAAUUUGUCCCCUUAGAAGGGACAAAUUAUACUCAAUCCCUAAGCACAUAUCUGAUCGUUAAACUAGAACAAAAACAAUUUACAUUUUUCUUCCAAUUUUUCUCAUGUUAAAGUAAAUAAUUUUUUUAUGGUAUUGCCUUUGACUUACCUUAAAAGAAUAAAAAAAGGCAGGAGCAAUUAUGAGCUAAUGAUUAUCAUUAAUAAUGUUAAAUUUUAAAUAAUUUAAGGCAUUUUAGUGUUCUUUCUUAUUAUCCGAAAAGUAACUAUGCAGUUGCAAAAAAGGGGGGAAAAACACACUUUAUUCUUUUCUUUCCUUUAACCUCAUGUAAGCCAAAACAAACAAACAAACAAAAGGCAGGGAUGCAAAGCCAGUAAUGAGAAGCUCCCUGUUUGAGACGGUGGUAACUUUUAUCAGUGGAUAUUGGACAAGGGAAGGAACAGGAUGAGAGCAUGCGGCUAUAAGAACGGAUGGCUGGUGUUAAUGAUAUUUAAUUGCACUGACUUAUAAGGAUAGACAGAGAUAUAUAUUGUUGAUCAAUUGAUUUUAGGAAUAUUCA